UACGUAGGGGGCAAGCGUUGUCCGGAAUCAUUGGGCGUAAAGAGCGUGUAGGCGGCCCGAUAAGUCCGCCGUGAAAGUCCAGGGCUCAACCCUGGAAUGCCGGUGGAAACUGUCGGGCUGGAGUCCGGAAGAGGCGAGUGGAAUUCCUGGUGUAGCGGUGGAAUGCGCAGAUAUCAGGAGGAACACCAACGGCGAAGGCAGCUCGCUGGGACGGUACUGACGCUGAGGCGCGAAAGCGUGGGGAGCGAACGGG
rnacentral:rRNA from 1 species